rnacentral:lncRNA from 1 species
AAGACGCUGCCCUGAGUUCCAGGUGCUAUAGCCCAGAAUAAAGCCCAAGUUCUCCAGCCUGGCAUUCAAGGCUCUUCACACUCAGACUCCAGCCUAUUUCUCUGGCCCCACUACAGGCACUUCACAUAAUCUGCACAGAGACUCUAUAACAGUCUCUCAUCAUCAUCUCCAUUUGCCCAACAUCACACAGCUGGCAAGUGGAGCUGGAAUAUGGACCCAGGUCCCCUGGAUGCCAUCCUGCUGUGUCAUGAGCGAUAAGCACAGACUGCUGGAACACAGUCCAUUCACCAAAACUGUGCCUUCCAAACAGUAAGGGUGUCAAUAAUGGGUGGAGGGGAAAGUGUGAAGAGGAACCAGGGCAAGGAACUUGGAAGGUGAGGAUUGCGUAUGCUGGUCUAGAAGCUCUUAUUUCACUCUCAGGACAACCCUCCUGGAAUUAUCAUCUCCGGUUAGAGUUGAGACACCUUCAUUCAUUUCAGCAACUUUAAGGAAUUUACCCAUGGUCAAACAGAAGUCCCUGUCAGAGCCAGCAUUUGACUGCAAAAUCAGCUGGCAGGCAGGCAGCACUGUCCCUCUGCAGAGUGGCACCUACAAAGUCCUCAGUCCCUCGUUUCCACCGCAACCCAGUGCUAGCUCCCUCUCUGAGCACCUGAAAUUACCUUUGCUAAUCAGGACUUUGCAGUUAGGCGUAUUUUUGUAAGACUCCUGUUAGAAUGAAAAUAUGUUACCUGGAAAGAGAAGCAUGUUGGGCGAAUGGUUUCUGACCUCCUAUAGAGUUGGCAAAAUUGUGUGUGUGUACGCAUGAGUGUGUGAUCUGAAGGGCCCAGGUGCCCAAAUACCAUUAGAGACUAACUCCUUUGUCUCCAUCUGCUGAAUCUGCGUGCUGAAUGGGGUGUGUGUGUAGAGGAACUUUCCUAGAAAAAAUAAGGAUGGAAGCCUGGAAUCAGGGAGGGCAGCCUGAUGAUGGGUCACCAUGGGGAAGCUCUUUCAUGAGUGCCCUGGAAGGCAGCACAGGAAAUAACAUGUUAGGAUGGGAGGAGGAUUCCAGAGAAGCAGGCUUUAGGUUGGGUGGUCCACUUGCAUUGCUUUGUCUCCAGGAAAGUUGCUUUCCCCUAACCUGCGACCUGGCUUUCCUUCCCUGUGAAGAGAGGGGUGGAACUAGAGGCUUAUACCCUGCUCCAAGACCCUGCAGCCCAACAAAAGGCCCAUUUUCCCUUUGUUAGUUACUCGAAUGCCAGAGAGAAGGGCUCCCUCUUUUCAUGCUUCCCCAGUCCAGCUGGGGCAGAAUCAUGAGGGCUGCAGAGGACGCUGCUGGGACAAGACCUCCUCUAGGGGGGUCCUGUAUCCCAUGCCUAUUACUGGCCUGCUGGGGCCAGCCUGUCUUCUGACAGCUGUGUCUCCCACCAGCACAGUUAAUUUGCUGCCGUUCCUGGGAUGUGACAGCAACUUGAAGCAAAGCAAUUAGGAUGAAAAAGAGGCCCCAGCUCCUUGAGGCCAAAGGAAAAUAAACAGAGCAGCCCUGUGUGUAUUCCGCCGCCAAGAGGAGCCAUUCUUCAAGGGAUGAUUAGCAUUUCUAAUCCCAGCUUCCUCCCUUCCCUUGAAAGAAAAGUGACCGGUGAGCGGCUGCUCUUUUCAGAUCCCACUCUUCCCAAGGUGGACUGCAAACUUGACAGCUCGUCACCUCCACAGAAAAGUCUUCCCUGGCCACCUGCCACAGCCCUGCCAGAAAUGAUACUCCUGUCCUCUGAAAUCUGAGAGCCUUUCUCUGUACCUUUCCUAUGGAGUUUCCUUGAUUGACUGAUCAAUUCAUUAAUGCAUUCUUUCAACAAACAUCCGUUGAGUGCCAUUCAUUCAUUCAACAAAUAUUUCUUAAGUCCCUACUAAAUAAAUCAUCUCUUAAGCUGC